CCUACGAGAGGCAGCAGUGGGGAAUAUUGCACAAUGGGGGGAACCCUGAUGCAGCGACGCCGCGUGAGUGAAGCAGUAGUUCGGUAUGUAAAGCUCUAUCAGCAGGGAAGAAAAUGACGGUAACUGACUAAGAAGCACCGGCUAAAUACGAGCCAGCAGCCGCGGUAAGACGUAGGGGGCACGCGGUAUCCGGAUUUACUGGGAGUAAAGGGAGCGCAGACGGCUGUGCAAGUCUGGAGUGAAAGGCGGGGGCCCAACCCCCGGACUGCUCUGGAAACUGUAAAGCUGGAGUGCAGGAGAGGUAAGCGGAAUUCCUAGUGGAGCGGUGAAAUGCGUAGAUAUUAGGAGGACCACCAGUGGCGAAGGCGGCUUACUGGACUGCAACUGACGUUGAGGCUCGAAAGCGUGGGGAGCAAACAGGAGUAGAUACCCCAGUAGUC
rnacentral:rRNA from 1 species